rnacentral:rRNA from 1 species
GGGUUGUGAGGUUAAGCGACUAAGCGUACACGGUGGAUGCCCUGGCAGUCAGAGGCGAUGAAGGACGUGCUAAUCUGCGAUAAGCGUCGGUAAGGUGAUAUGAACCGUUAUAACCGGCGAUUUCCGAAUGGGGAAACCCAGUGUGAUUCGUCACACUAUCAUUAACUGAAUCCAUAGGUUAAUGAGGCGAACCGGGGGAACUGAAACAUCUAAGUACCCCGAGGAAAAGAAAUCAACCGAGAUUCCCCCAGUAGCGGCGAGCGAACGGGGAGCAGCCCAGAGCCUGAAUCAGUGUGUGUGUUAGUGGAAGCGUCUGGAAAGGCGUGCGAUACAGGGUGACAGCCCCGUACACAAAAAUGCACAUACUGUGAGCUCGAUGAGUAGGGCGGGACACGUGGUAUCCUGUCUGAAUAUGGGGGGACCAUCCUCCAAGGCUAAAUACUCCUGACUGACCGAUAGUGAACCAGUACCGUGAGGGAAAGGCGAAAAGAACCCCGGCGAGGGGAGUGAAAAAGAACCUGAAACCGUGUACGUACAAGCAGUGGGAGCACGCUUAGGCGUGUGACUGCGUACCUUUUGUAUAAUGGGUCAGCGACUUAUAUUCUGUAGCAAGGUUAACCGAAUAGGGGAGCCGAAGGGAAACCGAGUCUUAACUGGGCGUUAAGUUGCAGGGUAUAGACCCGAAACCCGGUGAUCUAGCCAUGGGCAGGUUGAAGGUUGGGUAACACUAACUGGAGGACCGAACCGACUAAUGUUGAAAAAUUAGCGGAUGACUUGUGGCUGGGGGUGAAAGGCCAAUCAAACCGGGAGAUAGCUGGUUCUCCCCGAAAGCUAUUUAGGUAGCGCCUCGUGAAUUCAUCUCCGGGGGUAGAGCACUGUUUCGGCAAGGGGGUCAUCCCGACUUACCAACCCGAUGCAAACUGCGAAUACCGGAGAAUGUUAUCACGGGAGACACACGGCGGGUGCUAACGUCCGUCGUGAAGAGGGAAACAACCCAGACCGCCAGCUAAGGUCCCAAAGUCAUGGUUAAGUGGGAAACGAUGUGGGAAGGCCCAGACAGCCAGGAUGUUGGCUUAGAAGCAGCCAUCAUUUAAAGAAAGCGUAAUAGCUCACUGGUCGAGUCGGCCUGCGCGGAAGAUGUAACGGGGCUAAACCAUGCACCGAAGCUGCGGCAGCGACGCUUAUGCGUUGUUGGGUAGGGGAGCGUUCUGUAAGCCUGCGAAGGUGUGCUGUGAGGCAUGCUGGAGGUAUCAGAAGUGCGAAUGCUGACAUAAGUAACGAUAAAGCGGGUGAAAAGCCCGCUCGCCGGAAGACCAAGGGUUCCUGUCCAACGUUAAUCGGGGCAGGGUGAGUCGACCCCUAAGGCGAGGCCGAAAGGCGUAGUCGAUGGGAAACAGGUUAAUAUUCCUGUACUUGGUGUUACUGCGAAGGGGGGACGGAGAAGGCUAUGUUGGCCGGGCGACGGUUGUCCCGGUUUAAGCGUGUAGGCUGGUUUUCCAGGCAAAUCCGGAAAAUCAAGGCUGAGGCGUGAUGACGAGGCACUACGGUGCUGAAGCAACAAAUGCCCUGCUUCCAGGAAAAGCCUCUAAGCAUCAGGUAACAUCAAAUCGUACCCCAAACCGACACAGGUGGUCAGGUAGAGAAUACCAAGGCGCUUGAGAGAACUCGGGUGAAGGAACUAGGCAAAAUGGUGCCGUAACUUCGGGAGAAGGCACGCUGAUAUGUAGGUGAAGUCCCUCGCGGAUGGAGCUGAAAUCAGUCGAAGAUACCAGCUGGCUGCAACUGUUUAUUAAAAACACAGCACUGUGCAAACACGAAAGUGGACGUAUACGGUGUGACGCCUGCCCGGUGCCGGAAGGUUAAUUGAUGGGGUCAGCGCAAGCGAAGCUCUUGAUCGAAGCCCCGGUAAACGGCGGCCGUAACUAUAACGGUCCUAAGGUAGCGAAAUUCCUUGUCGGGUAAGUUCCGACCUGCACGAAUGGCGUAAUGAUGGCCAGGCUGUCUCCACCCGAGACUCAGUGAAAUUGAACUCGCUGUGAAGAUGCAGUGUACCCGCGGCAAGACGGAAAGACCCCGUGAACCUUUACUAUAGCUUGACACUGAACAUUGAGCCUUGAUGUGUAGGAUAGGUGGGAGGCUUUGAAGUGUGGACGCCAGUCUGCAUGGAGCCGACCUUGAAAUACCACCCUUUAAUGUUUGAUGUUCUAACGUUGACCCGUAAUCCGGGUUGCGGACAGUGUCUGGUGGGUAGUUUGACUGGGGCGGUCUCCUCCUAAAGAGUAACGGAGGAGCACGAAGGUUGGCUAAUCCUGGUCGGACAUCAGGAGGUUAGUGCAAUGGCAUAAGCCAGCUUGACUGCGAGCGUGACGGCGCGAGCAGGUGCGAAAGCAGGUCAUAGUGAUCCGGUGGUUCUGAAUGGAAGGGCCAUCGCUCAACGGAUAAAAGGUACUCCGGGGAUAACAGGCUGAUACCGCCCAAGAGUUCAUAUCGACGGCGGUGUUUGGCACCUCGAUGUCGGCUCAUCACAUCCUGGGGCUGAAGUAGGUCCCAAGGGUAUGGCUGUUCGCCAUUUAAAGUGGUACGCGAGCUGGGUUUAGAACGUCGUGAGACAGUUCGGUCCCUAUCUGCCGUGGGCGCUGGAGAAUUGAGGGGGGCUGCUCCUAGUACGAGAGGACCGGAGUGGACGCAUCACUGGUGUUCGGGUUGUCAUGCCAAUGGCACUGCCCGGUAGCUAAAUGCGGAAGAGAUAAGUGCUGAAAGCAUCUAAGCACGAAACUUGCCCCGAGAUGAGUUCUCCCUGACUCCUUGAGAGUCCUGAAGGAACGUUGAAGACGACGACGUUGAUAGGCCGGGUGUGUAAGCGCAGCGAUGCGUUGAGCUAACCGGUACUAAUGAACCGUGAGGCUUAACCUUACAACGCCGAAG